UACGGGGGGGGCAAGCGUUGUUCGGAAUUACUGGGCGUAAAGGGUUUGUAGGUGGCUUGUUAAGUCAGACGUGAAAUCCCUCAGCUUAACUGGGGAACUGCGUCUGAUACUGGCGAGCUUGAGUGCAGGAGAGGAACGCGGAAUUCCAGGUGUAGCGGUGAAAUGCGUAGAUAUUGGGAGGAACACCGGUGGCGAAGGCGGCCCCCUGGACCGGUACUGACGCUGAGGUGCGAAAGCGUGGGGAGCAAACAGG
rnacentral:rRNA from 1 species